GCAGAACGCGAAGAACCUUACCUAGGCUUGACAUGUAUUGCUAAGCACGUGAAAGCGUGUGACCCUUCGGGGACCUUACACAGGUGCUGCAUGGCCGUCGUCAGCUCGUGUCGUGAGAUGUUCGGUUAAGUCCGGCAACGAGCGCAACCCCUGUGGUUAGUUACCAGCACAUAAUGGUGGGGGACUCUAGCCAGACUGCCCAGAUCAACUGGGAGGAAGGUGGGGAUGACGUCAGGUCAGUAUGGCCCUUACGCCUAGGGCUGCACACGUACUGCAAUGCCCAGCACAAUGAGGCCCGAUACCGCGAGGUGGAGGAAAUCUAUAAAACUGGGCUCAGUUCGGAUUGGAGGCUGCAACUCGCCUCCAUGAAGUUGGAAUCGCUAGUAAUGGCACAUCAGCUACGGUGCCGUGAAUACGUUCCCGGGUCUUGUACACACCG
rnacentral:rRNA from 1 species